ACUAGAGCGAUCCCUAUUGCCCUCUACCAGACUCAUGUAAAUGAGUCUGUCCUUGCUCAUAAGUGUGUUCAUUAUUCACCUGAUUGGAGUCACAUUGUGUCAUCGUUCCCUCAAGAGCGGCUGUGUGUUGUGUCUGUCAAUGAAACAGGCCCGUGGAUUUCUCUCAGCCCAUGGCCUUUGAGAACGCAGAGAUUGGGCCGCGUCCUGACCUGGCCCCGCCCCAGACCCCUGAGGAAGAGAAGAAGGAAGAGGCCCCACCCAAAGCAGCUCUGAGGCCUACAGAAGCAGCUCGGCCUCCACCACCAGCCUCCACUGUAUGUCCUUACCAAUGCAUUGUGGGUAGAGAUUCCUGUGUGACUACUGUAGUUUGAGACCGAGCGCAUCCCAGUUCCCAUACUUGCACUACUCAAUGAAAGUCUGUGCUCUGCUGGUUUUGGGUGCUGUGUGCAGCAGAGGCGGAGCCUGUCGUGCUGGAACUGGCCAAACAGUUCGGUCUGUCCAGAAACAGUCACAUGGCCUUUGAGUUUGACGACAGAAGGAUGAAGAACAGGCUGAUCGUGGAGUUCGAGAUACGCACAGAAGCAGCCUCUAGGCUUGUGUUCUUAUGGCCAGGUUCAAACACGCUGACUUCGCCACCAUCCAGCUGAAAGAGGGAAUGGCCCACCUGAGCUACGAUCUGGGCAGCGGAAACACUUCGGUCAGCGUGCCACGCAUCGUCAACAACGGACAGUGGCACAAGGUCAGACCAUCUGGCCUUUGACCCCUUUCACAGCAAGCAGAAUUUUCAAAUAAAGCUUUUGGCUCAUCUGGAUACAUUACUGUGU